AAUAGCAUCUGGGAUUGUAUUCGUGGAGCAAGACUGCCAUGUAGUGUCUAUUUCUUCUGGGAGGGGCAGUCAUUUUCACAGAGUGGUCUUCACCCUUAGU